GGAGCCCCAUCGAUUCCAUCGGAUUUGAGGCCCCGCCAUUGAGGCGGUUCGCCUGAAUCGGCCAAUUCGAUGCGAAUUUGCAUGUUCCAGAUGCGCAAAGAGCAGAGGCCCAUGGAUCUAGGUUGCUCCUUAUGAUCUGGUGAUGGUGGUGCGCCGAGGCGCCGGAGCUCGGCAAGGAGGAGGGAUCGGCAGUGGCAGCGUGGAAGAUAAGCGAGCCGGCUAUGCAUGGGUGGUGCGGCGAUGAGGGGUGCGACGGUAGGAGGCGGUGUCUCGUUCAGCUCAUGUGGCCAGUUGCACGCGUAGAGGCAGAAGCUCCACCAUCACCGGCACAAGGACCAACUACUUCUCCUUCCCAUUCAUCUAUUCUGCCGCCUUAGACGACUUCUUAUCCCAAGCAGCGGCGGCUGCACGGGAGAAGGAGCGCGUUGAUUCUUCCCGCCUAGUGUCACUUGGCUCCUUUAUAAAGGUGAAAUCGGGAUGCCUUUACUAUCCCUGGUAAAGUUGAAGAUGGUUGCAGAUAAUGAUGGCCCUGAUGAAUCUGCAUUUGGCAGCCAAUGUAGCUUAACUGUUUCCAGUAGAAAUUCAAGAUCGACCCUUGCUAGGGAAUCUUCAUUGUCUGCUGCUGAUAAACAAGACCAGGGUUUUGUUAAAGUCAACUAAUCACAAGCAGCUUUUGUGUGUAUCUGACCACCCAAGAGCCUUUGAUAGACACGACAUUAUCGCUGGCAAGACUGGAGAUGUGAAAAAGGCUGAUGCUGUUGGAGAUAGUAGCGCAAUGUAGAAAGAGGAUGAAAAGAUGGGACAUGCUUCUUCUAAUUUGGCUGAUGUUCGCAAACUAUCUGUAGCAGCAGCAUCCCCACUUGGUGUGGCUAAUGUGAGUAAGAAGAAGAAAGAAUCAAAAGUCGGUUCCAGUGAAUCCAAUACUAAUGUAAAAUUUGAAGGUAUCAAAUCUCCACAAAGUGAGCAUAGUGCAAAGUAGUGUUAAAAAAAAUGAUGGCAGUGUGAGUGUAAAAGAGGAUAACGUCAGGCCUAGCAUAGCAGCAAGUCUCGGUCAAAUGCAUGUGACCCAUGGGCUUUGAAUUGAGUUGGGCUGAGCCUAAUAUUGUAACCGAAUAGAUACUUCUAGCUUGCUGUUGUGGCCAUCAACGAAAGAAA